UUAUUGACAUUAAAUGUCACAAUGAUCCAGUUAUUAGCCUUCUAUCAUUUAUUUUACUAUUACUCACAUUGCCGGCAUUUAUGCCGGUUUUUUUA
rnacentral:ncRNA from 26 species